rnacentral:rRNA from 1 species
UACAGAGGGUGCGAGCGUUGUUCGGAAUUACUGGGCGUAAAGCGCGCGCAGGCGGCCCUUUAAGUCUACCCGUGAAAUGCCGGAGCUCAACUCCGUGCACGCCGGGGGAUACUGGAGGGCUGGAGACGAGUAGAGGCAAGCGGAAUUCCGGGUGUAGCGGUGGAAUGCGUAGAGAUCCGGAAGAACACCGGUGGCGAAGGCGGCAUCCUGGACCAACACUGACGCUGAGUGAGCGAAAGCCAGGGGAGCAAACGGG